AGUUGGCUCAGUGGUAGAGUACUUGCCUUGCAUGCAUGAGACCCUGGGUUCAAUUCCUCAGCACUA
rnacentral:tRNA from 1 species